GGUGUAGCUCAGGGGCAGAGUGUGUGCCUAGUAAGCAUGAGGCCCUGGGCUCAAUCCCCAACACACACA
rnacentral:tRNA from 1 species